GAUGAACGCUAGCGGCAGGCUUAAUACAUGCAAGUCGAGGGGCAGCAUGAUUGUAGCAAUACAAUUGAUGGCGACCGGCAAACGGGUGCGGAGCACGUACACAACCUUCCAACAAGUGGGGGCUAGCCCAGAGAAAUUUGGAUUAAUACCCCGUAACAUAGCGAUGUGGCAUCACAUUGCUAUUAUAGAUUUUUCGCUUGUUGAUGGGUGUGCGGCUGAUUAGAUAGUUGGCGGGGUAACGGCCCACCAAGUCUACGAUCAGUAGCUGAUGUGAGAGCAUGAUCAGCCACACGGGCACUGAGACACGGGCCCGACUCCUACGGGAGGCAGCAGUAAGGAAUAUUGGACAAUGGACGCAAGUCUGAUCCAGCCAUGCCGCGUGAAGGAUUAAGGUCCUCUGGAUUGUAAACUUCUUUUAUAAGGGACGAAAAAAGGCUUUUCUAAGUCGUCUGACGGUACCUUAUGAAUAAGCACCGGCUAACUCCGUGCCAGCAGCCGCCGUAAGAC
rnacentral:rRNA from 1 species